rnacentral:rRNA from 1 species
AGAUUGAACGCUGGCGGCAUGCUUUACACAUGCAAGUCGAACGGCAGCACGGGGGCAACCCUGGUGGCGAGUGGCGAACGGGUGAGUAAUAUAUCGGAACGUACCCGGAAAUGGGGGAUAACGUAGCGAAAGUUACGCUAAUACCGCAUAUGCCCUGAGGGGGAAAGCGGGGGAUUCGUAAGAGCCUCGCGUUUUCGGAGCGGCCGAUAUCGGAUUAGCUAGUAGGUGAGGUAAAGGCUCACCUAGGCGACGAUCCGUAGCUGGUCUGAGAGGACGACCAGCCACACUGGAACUGAGACACGGUCCAGACUCCUACGGGAGGCAGCAGUGGGGAAUUUUGGACAAUGGACGCAAGCCUGAUCCAGCCAUGCCGCGUGCGGGAAGAACGGCC